rnacentral:misc_RNA from 1 species
GGAAGGAUCAUUAACAAAACACUUGGUAAGACGGUGGGCAACUGCUGUCGAAGCCAUACACCUUUGUGAAUAGGGCGUUGCUGGCUUGUCUGGCGAUGCUUAGAAGGGAACCGAGGGGAAUUGGAGGCAGUAGUAAGAAAAUCUCUUGCAAGGGCAGCCAAUUCAAACUAAAUAUAGUAGUCUAAUCUUGUUUGUCGAAAGACAGUCAAUAUAAUACAACUUUUAACAAUGGAUCUCUAGGCUCUUGCAACGAUGAAGAACGCAGUGAAUUGCGAUAAGUAAUGUGACUUGCAUUCAUUUGUGAAUCAUCGAAUCUUUGAACGCACCUUGCACUUUGGGAGUCAAUCUCAAAGUAUACCUGUUUGAGUAUCAUAAACAUUUAUCCAAGCAAUUGGGAUUUGAGGAUCGGUGUCUCUGACGGCGUUCCUUUAAAUAGAGAGUGGAGUUGGUUUUUUUCAGCCUGCUCGAGUGAGGAUAUUUGCCUUGUGCAAAGGAUUCAUGAGAGAGGGUGAUGGGGAAGCCGAUGGACUCCAGGAGCUAGAUGUCAAUCUGGCUGACUGUACAAAUGUGAUCUCAAAUCAGGCAAGACUACCCGCUGAACUUAAGCAUAUCAGUAAGCGGAGGAAAAGAAACUAACAAGGAUUCCCUUAGUAAUGGCGAAUGAACCGGGAAUAGCUCAAAUUUAAAAUCUGGCUGGAAUCCAGUCCGAAUUGUAAUUUAUAGAAACGUUUUCUAGCGGGGCAAUUGGUUCAAGUUCCUUGGAACAGGACAUCAUAGAGGGUGAGAAUCCCGUCUCUGACUUUUUGCUGCCGUGGUAUGAUGCGUUUUCGACGAGUCGGGUUGCUUGGGAAUGCAGCUCAAAAUGGGUGGUAAAUUCCAUCUAAGGCUAAAUAUUGGCAAGAGACCGAUAGCGAACAAGUACCGUGAGGGAAAGAUGAAAAGAACUUUGAAAAGAGAGUUAAAAGUACGUGAAAUUGUUAAAAGGGAAGGGCUUGAAACCAGUAUUGUGUGCCUGAGUUCAGCGGCAAUUUAUAAAGAGUUGCUGUGUAUUCUCUGGUAUGCGAGUCAGCAUCGGUUUUGUUUGCUGGACAAGGGGAAGAGGAAGGUGAUCAUUUGCUUCGGCUUUUGGUUUUAUAGCCUCUUUCUGAUACAGUGGACGGGACUGAGGACUGCAACGUUUUUAGGUCGAUUUGGCUUAUUGGAGGGGCGGAUUUGGUAUUCUGCGUGCAGAUUGCAACUGUGCCCUGCUGGUACGGCCAAUAGAUUCUCUAGCGUUUAGGAUGCUGACGAAAUGGUUUUAAACCACCCGUCUUGAAACACGGACCAAGGAGUCCAACAUAUAUGCGAGUAUUAGAGUGUUAAACUCUGAUGCGUAAUGAAAGUGAAUAAUGAGAGCCUUUGGCGCAUCAUUAACCCCUCUAGAAGUCUUUGAUGGAUAGAAGGGAGUUGGAGCAUAUCUGUUGGGACCCGAAAGAUGGUGAACUAUGCCUGAAUAGGGUGAAGUCAGAGGAAACUCUGAUGGAGGCUCGUAGAGGUUCUGACGUGCAAAUCGAUCUUCAAAUUUGGGUAUAGGGGCGAAAGACUAAUCGAACCAUCUAGUAGCUGGUUCCCUC